UGUAAUAUUACUUUAAUAUUUAAUAUUACUUACAUUUACAUUUCUACAUGUUACUUUAGGAAAUAAUUUUUAUACUUUGGUUUAUUUAAGCAUAAUGUACCAGAAAAAAUAUACCAAGUUUUACAAAAAGAAAAGUAAUUAGAUUCACAAAGAGUGUGUUAUUUUUUACAUAUUUGUAUACAUUUGAUUGAUGGAUAUAUUAGAGGAGGCUAGCCAUCAUAUCAAAUAUAGGUUGCCGCUGGUUUCACAGAAUGUAAAAAAAAAAAAAAACACUACACCUAUACAUAAACAUACAUAAAUACUAAAGGAGGAGCAAGGACUGUACAACAAGCCAAUUUAAUGUCCCCUAAAACUGGAUGAUAUUUUUGUUAUGAAAGUCCAUUUUUCAUUUACUGGAUCCAGUCCAUCUCCAAAGUCCUUUUCAAAACUACUGUCUACCCUAUAAAGGAGUCCUCAAGGCCCAGAUUUACUGUCAGUCCUCCACUCAUGUGAUAUCCAGUGAAGAUUUCAAAUGGCUCUGGUGUCAGAUCCAUUCCUCACUCAUAACAUCUGGGCAGAUCUGGAUGAAAUGUAGUACUUAGAUCAUUGGUUACUAGAUAUGGAGACCUUGAUGAUGCCUCCCAUUUGGUCUUUGAUCUGGAGAUGAAUGAUGCUCAUCAGCAGCCCACAUUCUUAGACAUUCUGAGCCUCACUGAGGGAUUCCUCCUUCCAUUGCUUCUGCCAUUUGCAUGAAGACACUAGAGGCUAGGGCUACCUUGAAGUUUGCCUUGGAUAUCAUAUCAAGAACUGACACUUUAGUGGACUGCUCCUGUUUUCAUCAGCUGGGAGCUGGACUUUGGAGUUUACACAAAAUGAUUAAAAACAACAAAAUAAUUGGAUCCAUUAAAUUGAUAUUAAUGUGGACUUAUAUGUAGAAUCUCAGAGUUCUAUUGCCUAUAUUGUUUCUAGCCCCAACAUGAGUUUUUAAAUAAAGCACUCAAUGCAUUAGAUACAGUAUGCAAACCAUUGUAUUGCAUAACACAUUUCCAUAAUACAAAUAAAUAUUGAUUAAAUCUUUUAAUUAAUGUAUUUAGGCUAAUUUAGUGUACGGCAAUUAAUUAUUAUUUUUUUUUUUACAUUUCCUGUGACAAAAAACAAACAAACAUGUUUUGGUCAUUUGUUGCAUCCCAUGUAUUUCUUUGCUUCUUUUUAUAUUAAUUGGACUUGACUUGACUUUUUUCAUUUUUUUUUUUUUUUUUUUUUUUGAUGUUGUAUAUGUAAAAUAUUUGUUGCAUGUUUUACUAAAUUGCUAUAAAGUGUUCUAAAAAGAUGAAGAAUAGAUUUUGGAAUUUACACCAAUAUAUGGAAGAUUAUAUGACUAAAAGAUGUAUGAAAUACUAACUGGUGGAUGAACUUUUUCCUUAUGAGAUAGUGGUAAUAAAGAAUGAGUUAAUGACACUAUAUUCAAGUGUAAAUAAAUAUUAUUUUGGAAAGAUCA